rnacentral:lncRNA from 1 species
ACAGAGUGCAGAGAGGGGACCAAAACAAACCAUUUGCGCCACAAGCCACCUAGAACCUUUAGAACCGCACUUUGACAGCGUGCACCGUGUGUGACACCCGCACCGGGGAUCACCUCAAAUCUCGCCUCAUAAGAACGAAGAAUGGCUCCGAGUGGGUCGUAAAGAUUGGUUUAAUGUUCACGCAUCUUGUUCCUACGAUUCCACUUAGGAUCGUUUCGAAGAGCUGCGCGAUGAAAAGGAAAUUACGCAUAAUCGUGGCCAUGAAGGCUUGUAGAUACCCAGAAAACUAUGAGCCGUACAAUGGGCCAAAUCCCUUAAUAAAGAUUAGGAUGUAGUCAGAAGAUUGCAUGGAGGUUCCGUCGCAUUUCUCACAGCCAGACGAAAAUACAAUCAAGAUCAACCGGUUUGCUACGCAGUAUGAUGUUUCGUUUGAAUUUUUCAAAAACUAUCAGAACUACCAGUUAAAAAAUUAUUA